UUUCAAGGAACCUAGCCUAAGUACGCCGCGUCCUGCGGCAAUGGCUAGGUGACCCACUUCCUGUGGG
rnacentral:sRNA from 1 species